ACACAUGCAAGUCGAGCGGGGAAUAUUGAGCAGCUUGCUGCUUGGUAUUUCUAGCGGCGGACGGGUGAGUAACGCGUGAGCAACCUGCCUUUAUCAGGGGGAUAACGCAUCGAAAGAUGUGCUAAUACCGCGUAAGACCACAGCUUCACAUGGAGCAGAGGUCAAAGGAGCAAUCCGGAUAAAGAUGGGCUCGCGUCCGAUUAGCUAGUUGGUGAGAUAACAGCCCACCAAGGCGACGAUCGGUAGCCGACCUGAGAGGGUGAUCGGCCACAUUGGAACUGAGAUACGGUCCAGACUCCUACGGGAGGCAGCAGUGGGGAAUAUUGGGCAAUGGGCGAAAGCCUGACCCAGCAACGCCGCGUGAGGGAAGAAGGGUUUCGGCUCGUAAACCUCUGUCCUAUGGGACGAAGGAAGUGACGGUACCAUAGGAGGAAGCCCCGGCUAACUACGUGCCAGCAGCCGCGGUAAUACGUAGGGGGCGAGCGUUGUCCGGAAUGAUUGGGCGUAAAGGGCGCGUAGGCGGCCUGCUAAGUCUGGAGUGAAAGUCCUGCUUUCAAGGUGGGAAUUGCUUUGGAUACUGGUGGGCUGGAGUGCAGGAGAGGAAAGCGGAAUUACCGGUGUAGCGGUGAAAUGCGU
rnacentral:rRNA from 1 species